GGAGUUGUAGCACAGUGAUAGAGCACUCGCCUGGAACACGUGAGACCCUGGGUUCGAUCCUCAGCACCA
rnacentral:tRNA from 1 species